CUUCAGAGACUGGGUGGGAAGCAGCAGGCAGAGCAGUUGGAAAGUGUGCUUCUUACCUUGGUUUAAAAGCAGGAGCUUUUAAAACCACGAAUGGCUUCUAUGAGUGCAUCCAGCCUGAAAAAUAUUGUGUAAGUAAUUAGGAUGCUAGUGCUUCUGUCCCACUUUCUAAUGUUCCUUUUGCACGACAGUACCUGUUGUAUAGGGACACGGGUAGCGCUGUGGGUAAAACCUCAGCGCCUAGGGCUUGCCGAUCGCAUGGUCGGCGGUUCGAAUCCCUGCAGCGGGGUGAGCUCCCGUCGUUCGGUCCCAGCUCCUGCCCACCUAGCAGUUUGAAAGCACCCUUAAGUGCAAGUAGAUAAAUAGGUACCGCUUUAUAGCGGGAAGGUAAACGGCGUUUCUGUGUGCUGCUCUGGUGCCGGUUCGCCGGAGCAGCUUCGUCACGCUGGCCAUGUGACCCGGAAGUGUCUGCGGACAGCGCUGGCUCCUGGCCUCUAGAGUGAGAUGAGCGCACAACCCUAGAGUCUGUCAAGACUGGCCCGUACGGGCAGGGUUACCUUUACCUUUACCUGUUGUAUUAUGGAACGGUGACUUUUUUACCAACAUACCGGCAUGCCAUGCUAAAGCAUGGCAUGCCGGUAUGUUGGUAAAAAAGUCACCAUUCACACCAGUGGGCAUGGUGUGACACAGCAGUGAACAUCAUCUCUACUCCCCCACUUUUCCCACACAUGUGUGGUUCUAUUCCACUGUGUUUUAAGAUAAGAUCCAAAGGGCAAAACAAUACACUGGCACAGAAUAAAUGAAGGUAAAAGGUAAAGGGACCCCUGACCAUUAGGUCCAGUCACGGACAACUCUGAGGUUGUGGUGCUCAUCUCGCUUUAUUGGCCGAGGGAGCCAACAUACAGCUUCCGGGUCAUGUGGCCAGCAUGACUGAGCCGCUUCUGGCAAACCAGAGCAGCGCACAGAAAAGCCGUUAACCUUCCUGUUGGAGCGGUACCUAUUUAUCUACUUCCACUUUGAUGUGCUUUCGAACUGCUAGGUUGGCAGGAGCAGGGACCGAGCAAUGGGAGCUCACCCCGUCGCGGGGAUUCGAACUGCCGACCUUCUGAUCAGCAAGCCCUAGGCUCUGUGGUUUAGACCACAGCGCCACCCGCGUCCCUGUGAAGGUAGCAAUGCUGUUGAUGUUGUUUUUAACAGACCUGUUCCUUGAAAAACACAUGAUAAACUUCUGAGUGCCAGACUUCUAUUCAAGGUACAGGAGCAGGGGCAAUGAAAAAAAAUGUCAGCCCUAGGUGAAAUAAUCUAUAUUCCAGUUUCUGGUCCAGACUUCCCAUUGCUCUGGAAUUUUUUUUUUAAAGGUUCUUAAAAUCUAUCACCCUUUAUCAGUUUAAAUGGGGGGGGGAUUAGAGCCAGUUUGUUUGUUCAACUAUGAGGGCUUGUCCACACCAGUGUUUGCCCCACUGCUUUUCCCCAGGAAAACCUUUGGCUUACUGCGGAUCUGGACCAAACAGCAAUCAGGUUUUCCAUGGUAAGGAGUGGGUUUUCCAGGGGAAAGCUGUGGGGCAAAUGCAAAACCGCUUAAAUCCAUGCCUAGAAAGCACGAGGAAAGUUGGAAACCAGCCAGACCCAUGCUUUCUAGGCACGGGACAAAUGGGCGAGCCCUGACUGUCUCUUUCAAUGACUGAGGAAAUGAUGCCUCUCUCUGUCAGUAAGGGCCAUCAAACUCGUAUGACAAUUGAUACCUGGGUGUGGAGCACCUUUCACACACUUGUGCAAAACCAGUUAAAAGUGCAUAGUUAAAGCUAAAUGGGACUAAACAGAGUGAACGUUACUUUUCCUGGAGGGUUCUCUGAAAGCACGGGAGAAGAUGUUUUGAUAUGAAUGACAAGUUAUUUAAUACAUAGCAGUUUUGGCCAUUACAUUCUCCAAGUGCCCAGGGUUUUAAAGUAAUCCUCCAGGCAGCAGCUUUUGCCUUUGUUAGGCUUCAGGUCUGUGGUGAAAACUCCGUAUGAGAAAACUCACUGGAAGACUUUAAACUCUAUCAGACCUGGCUUGAUUGCAAUCACCUCUCCGAGGCUUCCCAGUCAUUCACCAAGCCAAUUAGUGUAGGCCUCGGUAGAUCUCCCCCAGCUGUGAGCUGAGUGAGGGAGCAGGACUCCAUUUUGUGCUCUGACACACCACCUGAGUCCCACAACCAGCUAAUAGAAGUCUUCCAAGGGCAAACGCAUCACAAUGCCAUUCCAUUCACUCCGCAAUUCUCCUUUUCUUUCCGCCUUUCCCCCUCCCCGAAGAGAACUGAUCUGCAGGCAGAAAAACCCAUUUACUCAAAAAUAAGAGUAAAAUGUUUUUUCUCCUUUCGAUAAUGUUCCCGGUUCUUUCAGUAGGUAUUAUGCUCCGUAAUGUGCUGCGCACACCCAUUUUGUCAUCGCUUUGGGUCAUCCUUGCUCACAAUUGGUUAUUUACUCAGGGGCUUUUGAAAUUAUUGAGUUGACACAUCUGUCAGACGGCAAAAGCAGAAAUGCUAAAAGGUCACUUGGAGAGAAACCAGCUGCUUCAGACAAACCUUUCUGUCUUCAAAUAGCACAGUCAUUACUGCUUGGCAGAUGGGGCCCCGGCUUUCAUUUCUGUUUUUUCUCCUUCACUUCAGGUAUUUAGAUAUAUACUACCUCAUUGCCAGGUAAGCGUAGGCCUUGUAAUUACCUACACAAUAGGCAACUCGCUGCUUAAGGAAAACAGCUCCAUUUCCCUCCAAACAGAGAGCCUGUUUCCUCCACAGAUACAAACUACAGAACAGCUCACCACAAACUUUCCAAUUAACAGAUUAAUUUUGACAGGAAUAAGUAUAUUUUUAUUACUCCUGCUUUCAUCAUGAUGCCAUGAGACUGGCAUUAAGUGCUGAGUAUAAUGCUCUGAAGCACCUACAGAGACUUUCAGCAGCUAUGGGAUAUGGCUGACCAAAUAAUUCUUAAUCACAAAUAGAUCUGAAAAGUUUGGCCUCCCUUCUGGGUAGACAAAUAUUCAUGAACAGGUUAUUCAAGCACUACAUUAAAGCUGGUUGUGAUAGAGUAUUUUGCACUGGCUGCAUAUGGCAAGAUGGAAGAAUUUAGAGAGGGGUUGCUUAUGAGGCCACAAUCAGAAGGCAGUCUUGGAAAUAAGUGAACAAAGCACAGCCAUGUUGCCUCUACAGUCAUGGAGCCUCGACUCUGGAGUGACAAUUCUAAAUCUGGAGUUUAGAAGAUUCAAGGAACAGAAUUAGAAUGAGUUGGGCAAAUUAUAAUUAUCUGUACAAUCUACCUUUAAAUACUUUCUAGUGAAUUGUUUAUUUAUCACAUAUCUCACCCUUCUCUCAAAGAGCUCCAAUGGCCAAGGUGGAGGUUAUCCAAUUAGUGUUACAAUAUUCUAUCAAUGUAGGGCUUAUCCAAUUAGCAUUAUUCUAUGUUGUAUAUUGUGUAUAUAUAUUCAUGACUGGUAGGUGGCAAACUUUGUCUUUAACAGCUGCACUGCAGGGGCUCCUGUGUCUUUAACAGCUGCAUUGCAAGUAGAGUGCAACAGAUGAAGUUUUUCUCAUCUCUUUAUUUAAUGUUCACUCAGUGGGGUAAGUGUAAGUGUGUAACAGGAUGCACUGUGUAAGAAAGACACAAAUUAAAUCAUUGCUAAACUUUUAGUUUUAUCCAUAUUUGUUUUGAAUUUAGAUGGUAAAUAACAGGUGGGGUACAACAUGCUGCCCUUCUAAUCCUAAUCUCGGCUUCUGGUAUUUACCAUUUUAAAAACAGUUGUAUAAUGUGAUUGUUGGAAACCCAGUUGUGCAAGAGCUUCAUGUGGGCAGCAGAGCAGGUAUGGCGCUCCAAUGCCAUAAACCUUUCACCUCUGUGUCUAUCGUUCUUCUUGAUACUCAGUAAAGAAUUCUGACUCUGAAAGCUUACGUAGAACCAAGCAGUUCUCUGUGCUCUUGUCAACACACAGCCUUCCAAAGCGCAUAAACCAGCUGAAUCAGACUCUUGAGGCUUAUACAGGACACAAAGAAGAAACAACGUAUAAAUCUGAUUGUACCCCAAUCCCAAAUUGGAGUGAUGCAGAAAGCUUCUUGACAAAAGCUACAAGAGGCAGUGCAUGCAGACUGUGAGAGUCACUUCACCCGGACAAUUAUUAAUAAUCUUUUCAACCAAAAGCUACAGCUCACUUUCUUUUGUUUUUCCAACAAAAGCUGUGCUGCUCUGAGUUGAAAAGGACAAGUGACUAUAAAAAUGUAAGCAGGCAACCCCCAGCUGAGAAAUUUGAAAAAGGGGCCAUUAGGUCCAAAAAAAAAAAAGGCAUCUAUUUGUGUUCCUCUUCUAGAUGUCUAUGUAGGGGAUGGGUGAACUGCUUUGCCUCCCUGAACAAAAGUAUAUUAUGACAUUACAACCCAUCUGUUUUUCACCAGCACAGAGGUUUCUUAUCCCUCAAUGCCUUCUGACACUGGCUUUUAAAAAGCAUGGUGAUAACACGGAUACUCGGUCAGUGUUGACUGCCAUCAGCAUUUCGUUUGAAUUGCUGGGGCUGAAAACAGUCUAAAGAGGCAUAUUAACAAAAUGAGAGUACAGGGAGCAGAGUUUUGUUAUAGCCUCAGCUCUUAUCAAAUUGGGUACUGGUAUUCAGGAGUCUUCACACUGAUGUAUACUUUGAAGUACCUGCAUAGAGGUGUCCUCAGAUAAUCAUCUUUGGGGAUUUUCGGGUGCUGAUGCAGCACUGGAACUGGCACGUUCUGCUAUGUGCUUAUAUCUACACUCGUGUAAUGAAUGUUAAGUUGUUCUUCUGUAAAUGAACAAUUAUUAUGGUAGCUUAAAUCUCCAGUGAUCUUUCCUCCAGAUGGAUCUGUAGUCUGUAAAUGUCUGCCUUGCCACUCGGGGAAGUAAGAAUGUGAAAAUGAUAUAUUCCUCUUGAACAAAGAACAUAUACAAGACUCAUUAUUUACAUGGGAGAUUCACCCUCAAGUAUGUUUUAUAGUUCAGUGAGUUUAUGUUAUAAGCAUUCCAACAUAUGUGUGAGUAUGAAGUUCAUGCUACUUUGGGAAGGUUUACUAAGGAGGCUCCUACCACAGCUACCACUCAUUUCACAGCUGUUUAGUUCCAGUGGCAUACCCUGUGUUGUACAGAAAGUAAGUGCCUUUGCCCCUGUUCAGAUGGAUUCCAGGCAGGAAUGGAAACGAGGCCCAAAAAUGGCACAGGAGUGCUGUGAACAGAAAGCAAUUAUUGUGACAUGUAAUCCUCAUCAAGCCAGAAUCUCCCAAAAACAACCUUCAAGUGGAUUCACCUUUCUCAAAUAUUUGAAACAGACCUGCGUUUUCCCUACUUACUGCUUUCAUCAUUAUGUCUGCGAUUUGUCAACUGCAUACUUAUAGCUCCCACACCCAAGUGCUGGUUUUAAUUUUUAAAGCAGGGAUGGGGAAACUAUGAACAUCUGGAUGUUAGUGGAUUCCAAUUCCCAUCAGCCUAGCCAUAAAGGUUUCUCCCAUAUGUAUGUACCCAAACUAUGAAAUCCUCUUUAAUGGUCCCACCAUAUGAGGUGUGUAGGCACUAGAGCGAGUGCCUUUUCAGUAGUGGCACCCCAGUUAUGGAAUCCCCUUCCCAGUGAUGUUCACCUGGCACCAUCUUGGUGGUCUUUUUAUGACAGGUGAAGACAAUUCUAUUCAUCCAGAUCAUUUAUUUAUUUAUGCAUUUAUUACUUUGUGAACCAAUGAAAUCACUAGUGUUACAGGGCUUCUAUAGAAAUGUGGUUAUUACGUUAGAAAGGAAGGAAGGAAGGAAGGAAGGAAGGAAGGAAGGAAGGAAGGAAGGAAGGAAGAUUGGGUUUUGUUUGUUGGGUAUUCAGAUAGUUGGGAAUGGAAAAGAAGCAAUAGCUAUUGCAGUGAAGGCCAUCCUUUGUGAAUCAUGGCACAAUCAUUCUCACACAGUAAAGACAGACCACACCCCAUUCCCCAAAGACCCUUGACAUGUCUAUUAGCUUUUCCUUUAGGUUUGCAUACCUCUCUUGCCUUUGAGUUGGCAAACGUGUGGAUUGCAACCUGCCUUCCUCAGGGAGCCAAAGUUCCAUCUAGCCCAGAAUUCGGGUCUCAUAGUGUCCAACUCAUGGGAAGCUUGUCAGUCGGACAUGAGAGUAACCGCACUCUGCCCACUUGUGCUCCCUAGCAAUUGGUAUUCCAAGGUUUAUCACCUCUGAUGCUGGAGGUAGUGCAUGGUAGCUGGUAGCCAUUCACAGCCUUGUCCUCUAUGAAUUUGUCUAAGCCCCUUAUAGCUGGAGUAAUGCAUAUUACUCUGCCUUGGGGUACUGGUGAAGUAAAACAUAUUGUCACUUAAAAGGGAGUAGGUAAAACCAUUCUGCCCAGGGUCUAACUGCACUACUGUCAGAAACCCAGAUUUGGCCCUGGGAUCUUCAGUUCCCAGCCCAUACAGUGAAGUAAACGCUCUUGCCUCUGGUGCAAUAUCUCAGCAGUGUUGCCAAAGAGGGAAUAAUCUGUUUACCUGGCACAUGUCCUGAUUGCAAGCCAAGAAGCCUCACUUUGGCAUAUUCCUUCAUUAGGUACACAUUUUUGUUUACAGUUUUCGGCAACAGUUGUAACAUUUUGGUUCCCUCCUUGUAAACCUUUUUUUGGUGUGUGUUUUUGGAUGCAUAAAUAUAAUAGUAAAUACUGUACUUGAAGAAAGCUGUAGUCUGAAAAAUGGGCAGAUGUUCCCUGCUGGGUAAUGAGAAACAUCUUUCUCCAGUUUUCCUGACAGACGUAAAUGAAAACGAACACACAGCCACACAUACAUUACAUUGCACUUGUCUCAGAAACAUAAUAAAACCUGGAGCUUCUUCCAAGAAGUAAACAAGCAAAGGCAGGUGAGCAUCAGAUGUGUUUUGAAUGUUCUAGAAAGAUACGCUGAAAUGUCACCAUUAAUUCUAUAACACCAAAUAGUAUCCAGAAUCAAUUGUACAAAUUGGGGAGAGUUUCAUCAUUUUGAUUUGCACAUCUUGCUUUAAGAAUAGGGAACAUUCUGAUGCAGUGCUUGGGUUGAGGAUACAUAUAAACUUGCACUACAGUUCUGUAUUUGCCUACUUAAUGGGACUCAUUCCUAGGUAACUGUAUAGGAUUGCAGCCUAACUCUUAUUGCUUUCUUGUAAGCAGUGUUUUUUUAUGGAGGGACGCAAGGGUACGCAUUCCCCUAAACAUUUUGUGAAUCUAAGUUUGGCCUCAUUGAGGGGCAGUAUUUCAAUAUGAGUAGGAAAAUGAGAGAAAAAGAACAGCUUGUAAGCAUUAAGGAAUUAUUCACAUUUGCCACAAAAGUAUAAAACCCAUGCCUUUGCCAUGGCAAGAUUCCAUGCUGCUAAAACAUGCCAAUGAAUAAAGGUAAAGGGACCACUGACAAUGAAGUCCAGUCGCGAACGACUCUGGGGUUGCGACGCUUAUCUCACUUUACAGGCCGAGGGAGCUGGCGUUUGUCCACUUCUGCAGACAGUUUUUCCGGGUCAUGUGGCCAGCAUGUGCUUUCGAACUGCUAGGUGGGCAAGAGCUGGGACCGAACGACGGGAGCUCACCCUGUCAAGGGGCCUUGAACCACCAACCUUUUGAUCAGCAAGUCCAAGUGGCACAGUGGUUUCAACCACAGCGCCACCUGUGUCCCUUGCCAAUGAAUACUGGGGCCCUAUAAGACUUUCCCACCUGAUUAAGGAAGAUGUGAGGUGGCAAAUACUCAUAUGCUGGCUUCCUCCUAGCACAGAAUGCCAGUGAAUACUUUCUUCUGGGGAGCAAAAAUGGAGCAGAGCUAUUGCCUGCUGCUCUUUUGGGGGGGGGGACUACCAGAAGUACCUGGUCGGCCACUAUAGGAAACAACAAGAAUAAGGCAGUGAAUAAUCCAUAAUAAACAUACCCAGGCAUUACUUUAAUAGCAUGUCUACACUGCAGCAUCCCAGCCGUGUUCAGAGGCAGUGCUCAUUUCUUGGUUUGUUUACUUGUUAGAUUUAUAUUCCACCUUUGCUCCAGUUAACUCAAGCUGGUGUGUGUGGCCUCCCAUUCCCACCACGUUAUCCUCACAAAAACUCUGAGAGGUUUAGAGUUGGUUACCAGCCCAAGGUCACCCAGAGAGAUUCAUGGCCAAGUGGGAAGUCCCAGUCCUAGUACAACACUGUAACUGCCAUACUACUGGAUUAGGGCUGGACGCGGGUGGCGCUGUGGUCUAAACCACUGAGCUCCUGUUGCUCUGUCCCAGCUCCUGCCAACCUAGCAGUUCGAAAGCCCACCAGUGCAAGUAGAUAAAUAGGUACCGCUUUGGUGGGAAGGUAAACGGUGCUUCCGUGCGCCUGGUUUCCGUCAUGGUGUCCCGUCUGCCAGAAGCAGUUUAGUCAUGCUGGCCACAUGACCCGGAAAGCUGUGAUUAAUAAUAAUAAUAAUAAUUUAUUAUUUAUACCCCGCCCAUCUGACUGGGUUUCCCCAGCCACUCUGGGCGGCUUCCGACAGAAUAUUAAAAUACAAUAGUCUAUUAAACAUUAAAAGCUUCCCUAAACAGGGCUGCCUUCAGAUGUCUUCUAAAAGUCUGGUAGUUGUUUUCUCUUUGACAUCUGAUGGGAGGGCGUUCCACAAGGCGGGUGCCACUACCGAGAAGGCCCUCUGCCUGGUUCUCUGUAACUUGGCUUCUCACAGCGAGGGAACCGCCAGAAGGCCCUCGGCACUGGACCUCAGUGUCUGAGCAGAACGAUGGUGGUGGAGACACUCCUUCAGGUAUACUGGACAAACACUGGCUCCCUUGGCCUGAAAGCGAGAUGAGCGCCGCAACCCCAGCCUUUGACUGGACUUUGUCCAGGGAUCCUUUACCUUUACCGCUGAACUAGUUACUGAAGACAACACUGGGUAGGGUUUGCCAUAUUUCAAAAACUGAAAAUCCGGACACAAAAAUUGAGCUUUUUCAUGUAAAGUUGUUGAGCUACCCCCCUCCCCCACCCCAAAUUCUGCCCGGAUGCUAUUUCCAGUGGACGAAUCACAGAUAUGUCUGGGAAAACCUGGACAUAUAGCAGCCCUAACAUUGGGAGACUCAUGUCCUGCUUGUGGGCUUGCCAUAGGCAUCUGGUUUACCACUGUGGAAAACAGGAUGAGAUGGGCCUUUGGUCUGAUUCAGCAGGCCGCUUCUAAUGUCCUUAUGUUGGAUGUUGCAGGUACAACCAGAAAUAGUGCCCCUAAGAAAAGGUAUUUCCCUUUUCUCCAGGGUCAAUACACCAACCUACCCUCCUCACAGAUAUAUUAAAAGUGGAAAGCCAGUACUGAAGGCUGGGCAGCCUGGUCUAGUUCUUGCAAUUGCUCCCAUCAGCAAAGUGUAGCCAACUGAUGCAUGUGGACUUUGAGGAGACAGCGUAUCAGAGCCCCGAAGGAAGCAUUGUGCAGAUGUGCAGAUAUGCACUAAAUCCUACAUAGCUGCAACAUUGUGAUGCAAUGGCUGGAAUGAUUCUCAGCACAUGGUUCAGAGCUAGUUUUUGUUGACUCUCUAAGAGAAAACUAAUGAGUUUCUUAGAAGAGCUUUGGGGCUUCCUGUGAUUUAAAACUGGCAGUAAAAGAAAAAAAAGACAGAGAAGGUAGUUGGUUAAUUGACCUUUAUUGUGCCUUCUGGUUCAUUUAGAAAUGGAAAUUAAAUUAACAUGAUAAUUCAGUCCUACUGAGUUAAGGCUGCUAUAAACCCAUUAAAUUUUAUGGCAAUUGAUUUAGCAUUUUUUUCUAUUAACUGGGUUUAAUUUUCAAUAUUGUCAUGCAGAUUCGGAGAAGUGGUUCAUUCACUUGGGUUCCUUCAAGUUACCAAUCGUAGCUGUUUUAUGAGGGUAACUUAAUUAUGGAAGAGCACAGGCCCUUGCCAUCAAGAGCAUGUAUUAAUCUUGAAAAUGAGUCUGUGCAAAGAGCAUGGAAAAACGAGGGAAUCCAGAAUAUUGUGUGUUAAAUGCCAUGGGAAAGCUCCUUUCACCUAUCACCAGUGACCCCCUUCCCCUGAAAUUCUCCAAUAGCCAAAGAUAUGUUUAAGAUUCACCUGCCAUUCACCAUAAUACAAACUCUUUAUAAACCCCACAUUUUGCAGUAACUUGUUUUUUAAUUUCAUUUCUAAACCCAGUAUCUCUAGAUCUUAGGCAACCUCAGGCUUGAUUCUGUUCUGCUCACGCCCGUUUUAUUGUGGCCGGUUUGUAUUUUCCUUCUGCUAGGACUAAUUUUGCUAUUUCAUUAGCAUUGCAGAAGAUGAUAAUAACUAUAUUUUAUCUUAUGCAAUGACCAAACUUCACUAAUCAACCAGGAUCCCACAAGGAAGUGAUCACAAAACAAGGGUACAGAUUAGAGUUGUAAUGGUAAAUUAAAUUUUGAAGGGAAGGAGUUCAUUGUGGCAAUUCUCAUAGCCACACCUGCAAGGACAGUCCAAAAAAUGCAAGCGGUUGUGUCAAUCUAUUAUUAUAUGUAGACACAAUCCACAGAGCAGCAGUACAUAGAUGAAUGCCCAAUGUAUUAGAAACAACAUGAUCGGAAUCCUAUAUUGUACAUAAUUUCCUGGGAUGCACCUCCAUUGAACUUUAUUGAACGCAGUGAUAAUUCUAGCUGCCUAGGUUCAGCAUGUAAAACAUACUGGAUCACACUGCAUGGGCGGGGAGUAUUUUAUAGUUGGAGUUUUUAAAUUUAUUUUAUUUAUUUUUAAAAUUAUUUUAUUUGUCCCUUUCUCUCUUCAGCCCCAGCCACGUCACAAACCUAAAGCACAUUUAUAACAUUUUGUCAUUAGGGAUGGAGAGAAAAAAUCUGAUCUCACCUAAUUCACACUUUCUGAAACUAUAUGUGAACCAAAACACAGCCAUCCUUCAAAAUUCACAAAUCUCAGAACUUUGCAAUGCAGUUCUCCAGCCAAGUAGUGUGUACAAAAAUCCCUGUGAUAGUGUAAAGUCUGCACAUAAAUGCAAAUAACAGUGAAAAUAGCAUAUAAAAAUGUGUCAAAUUGGGGGGAUUGCUUGCAAAAAUGUGUAUGUUAGUCAAAACUGCAUACAUACAAAACAUUUAUUCGCCCUAAAAUGCUGGUGAAUUGUUUUAACUAAAAUUCACAAAUUGCCGCAGAAAUGUGAACUGAGUUGAAGAUUGUAGUUUACCCCUCCCAGAGCUACAAUUCCUAGCACCCUGCAGAAACUACAAUUCCCAGGGUGCUUUGGAGGAAGCCAUGUGCUUUCAAUGCAUGCUGUGGAUGCGACCAAUACAUUGAAAGCUCACUAUAAGGCAGUUAUAUAAGUUCUUCUGUGCCAGUUUCGUAUCAGUUCAUCCGCAUAAAACUGAUACUGUAACCACCUUCUUAUGAGCUCUGCUGUCUGAAUGAAAAGCAAAACCCCCCAUGAUCGCCAUUUUACCUCAUCAACAAAUCUGUGAACUCCUCUGAAAAUAUAUUUUCCUCCUAUUUAAUAUCUGUGCUUAUAAAUUUCUGCAAUAUUGAUCUAUCCUGUGUUGUUUGUUUCUGUAAUUGUGUGUGUAUAUAUAUAUAUAUAUAUAUGAAAGAAAUAGCAACAUUGCUAUGCGGUUUGGUGCCUUAAGGGCGCACACUGAAUGCCUGAACAAAAUGACAGUAAUAACAAUCAGCAUUUCAAUGCAAGAUUGAAUUCAACUCUCUGACUCAAAUUCAGAUACAGUUUCGAGCAGAUAUUCCCCAGGGAGUUCUGAAUGCUAGGUUGGGUUAGAGCAAGUAUUUCUCGGGAUGCUGUUUGUAAUUCGUACUGUUUUGAGAUGUAUUAUUUCCGUGUAGUCCUUUUCUUUUGCAUCUACUCACUCAUGGAGAGACUACAAGGGUGUGAAUCCUGGCUGAAUGGUGAACAUCAAAUGUAAAGUAUAAUUAAGACAGACAGAUGCUUACUGCCCGUGACUAUGUGGAGCAAUUCUGUUCCUCACUCUUUCCCCGCCAAUGAUGAUUUGCAAAAGAGCCUUGUUCCAUAUUUAAACAUUGUUAGUGUAUUGGGAGCGCUUUGGGUAAGCCUGGAGUUAUUCAGGAAGCAAUUUUAGAGCAGUUGUUGUUUUUUAUUAGCUGGUAGGCACUGGAAUUUGUGUCAACAUCCUAUUCCCCUGAAUUCUUACAUGACUGAAGCUGACAUAUUUUCCAUAGCCAUAAAUAUUGCAGAAGCUGCUCUUGUGUGCAGGUAAGCAUUUUACUGUGAGGAAUUAAUGGCAAACAGCUUUUCUUUAUUUGAUCAAAGGGGAAGUUAUACAAAAUAGAAUACCCAGAUCAUAAAUUCUUCACUGAUGUGUGUAUAUGAGUAAAUUUCUCUCUCUAAAAAAAAUAAAAAUAAAUUCAUUAUAAACUCUUUUGAUGAAACCGAAAGAUCCAGAAAUAUUUAGGCACAUUUCUUUUCCGUCUGGCUGUGGACUUUUUAUUAUCUGUGAUCUCUUGGGUGGGUGGGAUGUUUUAACCCUGCCAUUUAAAUAUAUAUUUGACUUUUAGAUUUUUAUUUGUUUUGUUUUAUGGCUGGCCCAAGACAGACAGAUGCCAACAACGAAAUGUAUAUGGGUUUGUUCAUUGUUGUAAGUCACUUUGAAUUACUUUUGAAAAAUAAAGCAACUAAUUAAUUUAAUAACUAACUAACUAACAGAGAGGGUGGUAAACAUUGAAAUAUUUAUCAGUUCUAAUAAUCAAUGGAGUAGGGGGGAAAGUAUUUUUAAACAGUAUUUAAUCUGUUGUUUUAAGUCAAGCUGUACUGCUAGUCAGUGUUCCUUAGAUUCGAUGGGACUUGGUCAAGGGUAGUUAGCUGUUCUCAAGGAAAUGGAUGCAAGUCAUGUUCACCUACCAAAAUCAGGGCUGAAGUCAGUCUUGGUAAAGCGGUGUGUAUCACACACAAUAAAGCUUGGAUUUCACUGCCCUGUCCAUUUCAGAUACACAGUCAUGAACCUAUCACUACCAGCCUGCUUGCUUUUGAACAUGUGAAGCUAAGUGGCAGGACAGCCACAAGAAGCUGCCAUAUUACCAAAUUAGACCAUUUGUCCUUCUAGUAAAGCAUACCCUCCAACAGUCCUCAGAUAGGGACAUUUCUCACUCUCCCACCAACUGACCCUUCUGGACACCCCGUUUUUUUGUCGUUCCCCCACAGAGCAUUUCCUAUCAGAGGAAGGGCGAGUGCCACCACCAUCACCAUGACACCAAAUGGACACACUAAGAAGUCCCAAAUUCUGCACCCUUUUCCUCAGAGGGGUGUUGCUCACUAGCUGCCAGGCACCCAUCUAGAAACUAUUGAAGACAUUUUCGUUUCAACAAGCUUUUCCAGCUGGGUGGUAAGGAAUCCAUUUUGAAUUGUUUUUAAUCCUAUCUUCUGAAGGGGUUCAGGUUCUGUUUUUAACUGGUUCAGCUGGUUGUUGGGGUGUGUUUGCCAAUCGCCUUGAGACACAUAUUAGAAGAUGACUAAUAAAUUAACAAAUGAAUCAUUCACAUGGUCCCGUAUGAGAAGGGAAUUCUCUUCAUAUGCAUGGUUUCUGCUGUGGACACUGGAAGCUCCCCUCUCAUGAAAGGGAAUGGCUCAUCUUAGCAUGAAGGAAUGCACAUGUUCACUAUCAAAGCCAUGACCUUUGCCUCAGUCAGUGACUAAGGAAUGUAUUAUUACAUUCAGAAAGUAUCUGAAGUGUAGGUAGGUUCCUACGAGGCAAGACAGAGUGAUAAGAGCAAGAACCUUUAUUGAACUAACGGAACUGGACAGCAGGGGCAAAAUAACUGCUUAUAUACAUUUCUGAAGGCCUGGGCCACUGUCACUCCCAACAUGAUUGGCUUUCUAAACUUAUAAGCUACGAAUCCUGACUCAGAGUUUAAGGGCCAAUGGCAGAGGCCCAAAUCCUGAAAUGUUUUGUGAUUGGAUAUCAUGUAUCAAAUCAGAGCACAGGGGCUCAGACCCCUUAGUCCAGACUCAAGAUCAGGCAAACACAGACCACUGAAUACGUAACAGUACCAUAAUGGGAUUCUGUACUAUAAUUAAAACUGUGACACUUGUUUUAAUGGAUAUGGCUGAUGAAGUGCACUGCCCAUGUGUAUUCUUUAAGAAAUAUUGUAUUAACUGCAUUUUUAAAUAUGUUGUUGAGAGUUUCCUUGGUUUUGUCGGAGAAAGGCAGGUUUAAAAUCAAGAAAGAAACUGCUCCCCUUUUUACUAUCCUAAUUUUUCUCAUUUAACUCCUUCCCUCCCGGUGGAACACAGUCUGGCUACAACCAAAACAUGCAUUUAAGGCAUGUGGGGAAACCACAGACGGGGUUGAUCUAGCCCAGCUAAUAUUGUCCAUUUUGGCAGAGGCUCUCCACAGUCUUAGGCAGUCUGUCACAUCACCUGCUUACCUGAACCUUUUAACUGAAGAUCCUGGGGACUGAGACUGGGAUUGUCUGCCACUGAAACAUGAUUGCAAGAGGUUCAUUUAGCAUUUACAUAUCAAUAGACCCUGAUGAUAUGCUUUCCUUUCCUUUCUGUAGGCAGUGAGGUUUUGACACCAUGUCUCUGAAUACUGGGGAAUGCUGGGAAUCACAAUUAGGAGAACACUAUUAACCUCAUGUUAAUUCUUCCUUGUGGGGUUCCCGUAAGCAUCUGGUUGGCCAUUGUGAGAACAGAAUGCUAAACUCAAUGGACCUUUGUUGGUCUGAUCCAUCCUAACUUUUCUUAUGUCCUUAUGACUUGUGGAAAUGUCCACAACAUUUGCAGGGAGGAUGUUUAUCAGAAUUGCAGCAUUUGAGAAGGGACAUUUUGACCCUUCGUUUCUCCACUGCGAUUUCCACAAAAAUACCCAACCACGCCAUUCUGUUUGGGUCCCAUGGGGUAAGGUGGAACAUCAGCACAAAGAAGAGCUUCUAGUGAACAACUCGCUGUGCCUUUUAUUGCUGCACAUCCAGAACCUCUUUCAGACCCCUUCCACUUCUUGAAAAGUGGAAGGCCUUAAAGGGGCAGGCCUCUGGUUUACAGCACAGCGCUCCAUUGUCUCUCUAGCUAUGCUGCCUGCACCGAUACUCUGCUCUGUGGCGUGUGAGAGCUUUGGAGGCAACUAUGUGGGUCCCUUGCUGGGCUUGGGAGCUACAGUUUCUAACCCAGGCUGUGGAAUCUUCAGCUCAGAAGUCUAUGUCAUCUCCAGAGGUUUCUGGCAUCUUGAGAUCAGGGGUCUUUUUUCAGUGGUGGUGCUUGGGCCAUGAGCUUCCUCCAUAGGCACCAUUCAGCCUUUGAGUCUGUAUCCAGGUCACUGCUAAACUUCAGGUAUGUUACACUCUCCCUGCUAACAGAUGCUUUCACUGCCUAAACUGAAUUGUAAUAUUCCAUUAUGGUUGCAGUGAGGAAGGAAAGGAUUAAAUCUUCUCUCUCUGCAUGCUGCAAAUCCCACCCCCACCCCCCACAAAAAAAACCCUUCACGCCUGUAGUAAAUAAGAAAAACCAACAUCAGGAUUGCAAGUGGCACAAUUAACACAUGACGUCAAGCCCUCACUCUACAAGAUGACACAAGGGAGAACAGAGAAAAUUUGCUGAUGACUCUAAAUUGUUCAGGGUUGUUAGAACACAAAUAGGAUUGUGAAGAGCUCCGAAAGGACCUCUCCAAACUAAGCGAAUGGGCAGUAAAAUGGCAAAUGCAAUUUAAUGUAAACAAGUGCUUUGGUCCACCACUCAACAGAACUUUAAGGAGUGAAGAAAUCAUCCCCUGUAUUAGUGAUUCAAUAGCACUCUGCUAGUGAGCGCUGGCAGAUAAGUCAUGGAGCAUUCACUUACCAUCCCUGAAACACCCCUGUUGCUGAGACUUCUGCUCACUGACUGAGCCCCAAGCUGAGCCAAGAUGUGCCAGUGUAUCUUCAGCAGAGCUGGAGUUAGGGACUUGAGCCAGAGCUAGAGACUUGCCACAUCCUAACUUACUCACCCUGGCAGAUUUUGGCUUAGGAUGGCCCAGUGCUAUUUUUCUAGGAAAAAAGGGUGCCAGAACUUAGCACAAACACCUCCCUUGUUCUCUUAUAAUGGCAAUGGCGCCCAGCUGAGAGGUGCCGGAACUGAGUCCUGGUGAAUUCCGGCUGAAAAAAGGCCCUGGGAUUGUCCUCCUUAGUAUAACAAAGUCACACCACUGCUAUGCCGCUCACACUGCUGUAAUGAUAUGUAAGGGAUAAGAGCCACAAUAAAGGUAAAGGUAAAGGGACCCCUGACCAUUAGGUCCAGUUGUGGCCGACUCUGGGGUUGCGGCGCUCAUCUCGCUUUAUUGGCCGAGGGAGCUGGCAUACAGCUUCCAGGUCAUGUGGCCAGCAUGACUAAGCCACUUCUGGCAAACCAGAGCAGCGCACGGAAACGCUGUUUACCUUCCCGCCGGAGCGGUACCUAUUUAUCUACUUGCACUUUUGGCAUGUUUUCGAACUGCUAGGUUGGCAGGAGCAGGGACCGAGCAACGGGAGCUCACCCCGUUGUGGGGAUUCGAACCGCCGACCUUCUGAUCGGCAAGUCCUAGGCUCUGUGGUUUAACCCACAGUGCCACCCGCGUCCCAAGAGCCACAAUAACGCUUUUCAAAUGUAACAGUUUGUUUUCUAAUUCAACCAUGAAAGCAUUCAAGAGUGGGCCUUUGGACAUUCCUGAAUCUUGCUCCUCUUCACUGUUUAAUUUCUGUGCAUGUGUGUGUGUGCACACACACAAAUACACACACACAGUGAAAUCUGAUGACCCUCUACCAUCUUAGUGGGUUGUACAAGUUCAGGCAUAGGUGAUGCGUAUUCAAGUGACAUUCCUAUGUAUGAGCUCUGUUGUGUUCCUUACUGCUUAAGAAACAGACUCUGCAUAGAUUCUAUACAGAACACAUUCCUUGAGCAGUAAUUAUUAUAAAAGCACGAAAUAGAAUUUAAGUACAAAUCAAGAGCUUUCUGUUCUAUCCGUUUUUGUGCAGCCUUCACUAAAUUGUGGCAGCUACUUUUUCUUUUGUUUGUUUUCUGUUGCCAUUUCAGGAGAUGGUAAAUACAUUGUGCCAUACCAUUUUAUGUUUUAUAAAAAGGUGACCCUCACUUUCCAUUUCAAAUGCGGUUUCUUUAAUGAAAAUAUUGUAAUGUCAGUCCAUGCAAAGCAAGUGCAUAUUAAUAUGCGUUUACAUCUGUCUCAUAUUAAUAUUCAUGCCUGAAUCCACAUCUCUACACAAAGCCAAUUUUCUGGCCAUCUGUGUGAUGGCUGGUGGAUGCAAUGAAUAAAUUUUAUUUGUGAGGGGAGUGAUAAAUCAUGUAUCUUCGGCUUUUUUUUCUUCUUCCUUCUUCACCCACAAUCUCUGCUCUUAGGUGCUAAAAUGUUUUCAUCUUGGUUUGGAAUUUUUAAGCAAAACCAAGCGAUUAACCCCUUCACACCUUUCUGUAGUUCUGCCAGAUUUUCAAAAGGACAUAGGAAGAAGCUUAAUGAGAAGCAGGAAUGUGUGACUCUGCAAGAGCUCCUGCCACUUUAGGUACAUUGUCUCCUUGUGUGUGUGUUUUUUUCUGAAUUGCAUCUUCUUAUUUUAGGAAUUCAUUGGACUUGGUAAUUUAGAGCUUCACUCUGGUACCUCAGACACCAAGGAGAAUAUACACUAUUCUGGGAGUGCCAACUUUCAUUGUAAAAUUCUUGAUCAUUUCUAUCGUGUGUUUCUUUUAUGUCUUUCUGUCUUAUCGAUAUUCUUACUGAUAUUCUUAUUCUCAUUCUUAUUAUUCCUGCUUCACUUACAUGUGAGGAACUGUGGUCAAGGGUUCUUUAGAGUAAAGAUUUACUGGGCUUUUACCUCAAAGCCUGUUUUCAGUGACAGGAUUCAACUCUGGAACAUGGAACCAUUUUCAUCACUUUAUGUGGUGAGCAAAAGGAAUUCUCUCUGCCUGGAUUCCAGGGGCACAUUCUCCUUUUAUUGCAUCAGAGAUGAGCCGCAACAGUCAUUAGAACAAAUCUAGGCCCUAGAGUAGGAAGAGUAGCGCAUUCCACUGGAAAUGGGAGCAGAAAUGGUCAAUGUUCACUUAUUUGUCCUAUGUCUGGAACGGAAAUCUAUCCAACUAAUAUAUUGGCAUUUGCUGUUGCUUUCAGUCUGCAAACAAUUGAUUGUGGGUUCCCCCCCCCCCCUUUGCAUUGAAAUGAAUGGGGUGGAAUAAAGUAAUGACAACAUAAUUUACAUAAUUAAUUUUGUGCGUCACAUAAUUUUUGCCACACAGGACAACUAGAUAAAUAAUGUAGUUUUUGGUGGAAGCUGAACUGCAAUGGCAUACAAACAAAUGCAUGUCACAAAUGUAAGGUAGAAUGGAAAACCUUCUGUCAUUCCUGCCCUAGAACCAGCCGGCAUACAAAUCUGGGCUUCCAUAGUGGAGGUUGAGCUCUUGGUCCAUUUCCGAGCUCAGUUCAAAGUGUUUGUGUUUAAAAACUCUGCAUGGCUUGGGACCCAGAUGUCUGUUGAACCAGUUUCUCCCAUAUGGAUGUUCAUUCACUGAGGUCAUCAUCUGAAGCUCUUGUGUGAGUGCCUCUGGUGUAGUGGUUGAUUCAACACAUUAGAGCUGUGAGUGGGAAGUAUGAGUUCAAAGAUGGGUCUGGUGCUUUGGCUGAUGGUGCCAUGAAAGAGCAUGCAAUGGCGGUUGAAGAAAGAGAGCUUUCUUGAUGGUGACAUCUCUCAGAACAAAAAGGGGUCUACAAAAGCCCCAUCUAGGCCAGCAUUCUGUUUUCAAAUUGGAUAACCAGAUGUCUAUGGGCAUAAGCAAAACACGAGCAUAAUAGCCUUUUCACAGGAAGGCCAACUGAUACCUAUUCUGAUCUCAUUUUGGUGCCAGGUGAAUACCUUCUUACUUUUCCCAUUCUUCUUACCUGGAAGGAGUGUCAUUCUAGUUACACAUCUUGAAUUUGAACUACUGUGUUUUGUCAUUAUUUUAAGUUAUGGAUGUUUAGUUUCUGUUGUAUUGUAGUUUCCAUAUUCAUAUUUUAGUACAAGAUGUCCUGAGAACACUACCAGGUUGAAGGUGCAGGGUACAAAUAAAUAAAUAUAAUUUCCAACCUUGACUGAGAUCUUCUUAUGAAAUUUGAUACGUUUAGCUUGCCUAUAAUGUUUGAGUGUGUGGCUGAACUGGAAUUUUAAUCCAAGCUGGCGGAGUUCAAUGAGACUUAUUCCCAGGUAAGCAUAUAUAAGGUUGCCACCUAAGACUUUGUGUUAUUCAGUGUAGAGAAUCAGAAUCAGCAUCCAUAUAAUGCUCCACACAUCUGUGAAUGAGCAAACAAGCAAGUGCCUCCAUCUGCCUUCUACACAUGAACCAUUUUGCCAGUCUGGGUGAGAUAUUUAGUGAUGAUGAGGGGAAAUACUAUGCUGGAUUUCCCCCCUCUGUGACCUAUUAUUCCCUGCUCUCAGUUACCUUCCCAACAAACUAGGAGUAAGAAAAAUAUACAGAAAUUGGCUAAAUAUUAAGUCAUUGGUGUCUUUCAUGGCAUCACCAACCAAGACACCAGACACAUCUUUCAUUUCAUACCAAUUUAUAUGAUUCCAACUCCCAGAGCUAAUGAGUUGAACCAACAGUUGUCCAGCAACUGAAUGAUGUAAACUUUAACCAUCUCACAUCUACUGAAGACAAAGAUCAGUUCUGUAGCAGUACUGAAACAAUAGUUUUAGUGCUCCUGUUUUAAGAAAGUGUUUCUCAUCUGCAGUAUUUAUAACUGUAUCUUAACUAUGACUUUUUUAAAAUUAAAUUCUGUCUUUGGUUAAUCUGCACCUUUUUAGUAGAUCAAGAUGUUUUAAUCAAUAAAUAUAAGCUAUGUGGGGUUGCUGUUUGGAGGAGACAUCUCUGUGUUAUAAUAUAGGGUUCCACUCUCAUUCUUUGCUCUUCAAAAAUAUUUGAAUCUACUUUCUUUACAAAUAAUAAUAUGAAAUUAAGGUUGGUAAAACCUGAAGUUUUCUGGUCCUUUCCCUGAUUCUCUCUGUUUUCCUAAGGCAAAUCUCCAUUCCAACAGGACAGAAUUUAUGAAGACAACCAACGUGCAUAAACAUACCAAAGACAUUAUGAUAAAAUGGUUCAAGGAACCCAUGAAGUGGAAGGUGAGGUGUGUGUGUGUGUGUGUGUGUGUGUGUGUGUGUGUGUGUUUAAAUUUCCUUUUGGCAGGCCAAAGGCAUGUCACUAGCAUGUAGCCUACUUCUGCCUUUGACAGUACAACCAUAUGUUAGUUUUGACAUUUUUUGUUCACUGAAGUUCAAAAAGGAAUUUGAAAUGAGCUUCGUACAUCAUCUGCAUAAUUAGCAAGAAAUCAUUUGUGGCUCCAAUCAAUGCAUGCAAUUUUAAUAAAUUGCUCUAAUAACAACUCUGCAGAAAUUAGACAAAGCCGUCAUUGGGUCAAUCAAUGCUGCUCAAGAAAAUAGCAUUGUAAUGAAACUUCAAAUGACAGUGUAAUUCUACUUCAUUCCUUUUUUUAUAUUAUUUAGGCAAAUAAUGUUUUACUGAAAAUCUUUUGCAAAUGGAGGACAGAGUGGUUUGAGAGAUUGUUAAAGAACAUAAUGCCUUUCAUCAGUAGAUUGCUAUCCGAGCUUUGUAGAAAUUGAAAAAUGUUACAAUGUAAGGGCUAAUGAGUGAAGCAUAAGUUAUUAUCACCCUUUAAGAGGAACUCAGUUGGCAAUGGGUAUCUUUUUUAAAAAAAACAUACUCAGUGCUAGAGCUUUUGGAUCCUGGCCCAGGGGACUGUCAGAAAAUAUGAUGAAGUGGCCUCUGGACCACAAAAGCUUAGGCUACAAUAAAUCAACUUUAAGGUGCCAAAACAACCUCUUUUGUUGUUUUUGCUGCAGCAGACUGACAUGGCUAGCGCUCGAGAUGUUCUCAGUAAUAAUGUGCUUAUUUAUGACAUAUUUAUCUUGCUUUUCCUCCUAGGAGAUCAGGGCAGUAUAUGGGGCUGCUCCCAUUUUUAUCUUCGCUAGACUGAUAUAUAAUGACUGGCCCGAGGUCAUAGCCAAGUGGGAAAUUGAAUGCAGGUUCCCCAUGCCAAGUCUGACACACUAUCCCUUACGAAACACUAGCUGUCCUUUAUGGGUGGUCCAGUGCCCUACUUUGCAGAGGGCAAGCACCUAAUUGAAUGCAUCCUCUAUCUGAAGAGCUGGCCAUGGGCUGUUAAACAUUUCUGGUCCAAUUUCAAGGUGCCUGUGAUUAUGUUUAAAGCUACAAUGGCUUGGGUCCCCAAUACUUCAGUAGGCAAUUCACAUUUUAGUCUCUGGACUGCCUAUUCAAAUCAUUUGGAGGGCUGCUUUCUUCUAUGUUCCAUCUGUGGGAGCUGUAUAUUAUGUGGAGACAUGGAGGAAGGUCUUCUGUGCUAUCUCAUCCUGGCUGUGGAAUGUCCUCUGCUCAGUGGCUCUAUCAGCGGUCUCAUUCUUCUGACAACUUGACCUGGCUUUUCACUUAAUUGUUUGUGGGAUGUAAACUGCAAUUGUAUUUAAUGUGCUUAUGUAACCCGAAUUUUAGCUUUUAAGAGGAGUGUUGAUUUGAUUACUGAUGUGUUGCUUGUAAUUUUAUGGCUUGGAACCCACCCUGAAAUAAGCAUUGCAGUCUGAACACUGAUGAGGGUUUUUAUUUCCUUGCCUAGCAGCUAUGUUACCAAACAAGAACUUUUAACAGAAUAUUGUUUGAUGGAAGGUUCUUUCACACACACACACACACACACACACACACACACACACACAGCUAAGUCAGCCAGCCUUGUGAAUGCAAAGAUUAGAAGAUUUUCAUGUCUCUAGUUCCCUUUUUAAAGAGCCAACAUUUUCCAAGUAGACUUUAAGAAGUUUCUCCAAACAAGAGAUACAGAUCUGACUUUAUCGAUUCCAAGUUUUUAAAUAAAUGUUCUGUCCAAUCAAGUAUAAAUUAUACUCAAGAACACAUUUCUAUGGAUGCUAUGUGCAAAAGCUGAUUUCUUCCUCUGCUCCUCUGUUCCAGAGCAACAUUUGCAACACUAUACACAGAGAGAUUAUCUGCACUCAGUAUUAUUAUUUUUUAGUGCACAAAGCUAGUGUACCUCGCAGUGAGAUUAAUUGUAUGGAAAAUAAAGAGGAGGUUGGUGCCUCAGUUCUGUUGUGUUUUUUUCAGUAGGAGUACAGGAAGAAGAACAGAGGAGUCUAAGCCAUGAAUGUGCAUCCUUCAUCUCACAUAUCUGCACUGAUAUUCUAUACAGUCUCUAGCAAAAUGUUGAAGAAUGUGCUUGAUUCCUUUGAAAAGUUCCCAAAUUCUUGGGAAAGUUAUGUGAAAGAGAAGGGCCCAUGCUACUGCUAUGACUCAGUAUUAAAAGUUCAAAUUUUGAGGGAUCUUUCAGUGCUUGUAAACAAAGAGAAAUACAUUUGUUAUUUAGAAAGUUAUGGGAGGAAUUUAAAAAGACAGACAGAGAGAGAUUGCUCAAGAAAUAACAAAUAAUUUCUUUUAUCUAAUAAAUAAUAAUUUAAAAUACUUUUAUCCAUUUAAAGCAGGCAUGUCCAAAGUUCAUUUCGGGGGCCUAAUCCGAUCCGCUGGUCGAUUUAAUCUGGCCCCCGUGGCAGUACACCCUGGGUAAAAUCCUAAAAAAGCUCAGCAACUGUGGCCGGCCCUCAUGCACGUUCACUUCAUCAAAUCUGGCCCUCUUCGGAAAACGUUUGGGCGCCCCUGAUUUAAAGAUAGCUGUUCAUCCUUGUAGUGACUUGUAGUCAGUUUCUUGAAUCAGUGGUGAGCAACAGACAACAAAAGCAACCUUUUCUUCCUCCUGUUGGUUCCUUCUUUAAUAACUACCUGUUAUCAUGUAGAUUGUGUUCCUUCCUUCCUCCUUCUUCUCCAGCCAGUCUUUCUUUCUUCGCCCUUGUGUUAGGACUCCUUUGUUCUCUUGACCUCAUGACUCCGUAAUGGGCAUAUGUGAGCUUGUGCUCAGAAUGGCUUUGUUAACUUUAGCUUUCUUUUAUUCUUUCAGCCAGCAGUCUUACCAGGCUCUUUAUUUCUGCACACAGCUGCAAUGUUUACCAAACUGUAAGCCUGUUCAGGUGACCACCUAUGGGGCAUGUGGAACAUAUGGAAAGUGGGGUUGGAACUGUGGCAGCCAGUCCCACCCAAUUAUUUGUGUGUUCAGUGUAGGAGGCGGUGGUGCUGUGGUCUAAACCACUGAGCCUCUUGGGCUUGCCAAUUGGAAGGUCAGCAGUUCGAAUCCCCAUGACAGGGUGAGCUCCCGUUGCUCUGUCCUAGUUCCUACCAACCUAGCAGUUCGAAAGCAUGCCAGUGCAAGUAGAUAAAUAGGUACCACUGUGGCGGAAAGGUAAAUGGCAUUUCCAUGUGCUCUGGCUUCCGUCACGGUGUCCCAUUGCACCAGAAUCGGUUUAGUCAUGCUGGCCACAUGACGCAGAAAGCUGUCUGUGGACAAAUGCUGGCUUCCUCAGCCUGAAAGUGAGAUGACUGCCACACCCCAUAGUCGCCUUUGACUGGACUUAACUGUCCAGGGGUCCUUUACCUUUACCUUAAUACCCAUACAACUAGGGACCAACAAAUCAUGGUAGCCAGACAAACUUCAUUCUUACCAUGACCUUGACAGAAUGGCAUGUCCCACCAUCACCCAUAUUUAAAGGAUAAGGCCAUGGACCAAGGAAGAACAUCAGAAGGUGAGAGAGAAUCACCCUCAGAACCGUCCCAGACAUUCACAUCCCCCAGCUCUAGAAAUUCCAGCACGAGAGGUGCCCUUUGGCAUGCACCUCUCUGGCCUGAGGAUAUUAUGUUGCUGUCUUCUGAUUCCAAGGCCUCAAGCCCAGAAGUCCCAGUAGAACAUACUCUCCCCUGUGCUGUCAGGAUGAACGACUGUUAAAUCAGGCUAGGUCCCUUUAACUGAAGACGCUUUGUGUAAUGCGAGUGGAGCUGGCUACCAGGAAAGCAUUGCAGCUCUAUUUAAGGCUCAGCCUGAGUUUGCUUGAGGAUGAAGCAUCAUCAGUUGAGCUUGUGUUUCAGCUAUUCAUGGAGCUAUCCAGGGUGCUACUCCCACCUAUGUUCUGCAAGAAAUGAGGCACAGAUCUGGAGGUCAGUCGCAAGAGAAGUCCACACUUCAAUUGCACAGCAAGGCAAUUUUGCUAUAGUACACUUUUUGUCAUGAGCCGAAUAACUAAGAAUGGGGCUCAAUAUAUUUCAUAAUUAUGAAGUUAUUGUUUAUAGAAUUGUCUCAUUGGUUAUGCAUUGGAAUUAUUAGUAUUAGUAUUAGUAUUUGUUACUAUGUAAUUUCAGUGGUUUUGUUUAAAAUGCAUUUUUCUGUGUAUUCUUCUAAUUAAUACUCUGAGACUGAAGUCUAAUAUCUCAGUUAAAGAGUUGUAGUGUUUAUUCUGUACUCUCCAAUAGGAAUAUGCCUUAUUCUAAGUAAGAUCGUCAGCCCAGGGUUUUGUCUGCGCUGACUGGCAGUGAUAUUCCAAGGUUUCAUACAAGGGCACUGGCAGAGGAAGAGGAGUGGGGGGGGAGCGCACCCCCCUGACAGCGCGAUCCCAGUGGGGUGUCAUUGCAGCUGCCCUGCCCGCGCUGGAUGCCACGUCCCUGCAGGCAACGCGCCCCACCCCCGGGACAUGCAUCAGCCCCGCCCCCACCUGCUCUCCACCCCACCCCCAGUGCCGGAGCAUGAAGCUCCGCCACUGUACAAGGGUCUCCUGUGCGGGGAUGCUGGGGAUCGAACCACAAACUCAUUGCAUGAAAAGAAAAUCCACUAGCAAUAAGCUAUGGCUCUUCCCCAAUAAUAAAGGGUGACAUUCCCUCUCAAGUCUUGUGCCAUGUUGUGACACUAGUUCUCAGCCUGCAAAGAGAAAGAUACUCUUAGGAAACUGAUGAGCAUUUCUCAACCUGUUGGUCCCAGAUGUUGUUGAACUACAACUCCCAUCACCCCUAGCUAGCAAGGCCAGAGCUCAGGGAUGAUGGGAGUUGUAGUCCAACAACAUCUGGAGACCCACAGGUUGAGAACCGCUGAUAGACGAAGCAGGAUGAGGGGGAACUAAAAUGUCAAAGUCAGUCUCAGCAUCAGAACCUGGCAUCCUAACACCUUCACCAGGCCCUCCACACUGGGCAGCUGGGUAUGCCAGCCUUUCAAUUUCCCACAAUGCUCUGGAGUGACACUACUGCAUAGAUAGAUAGAUAGAUAGAUAGAUAGAUAGAUAGAUAGAUGAUAGAUAGAGCCUGAGAAAUUUUGUGUGCUGUGAGGAGUUAAAAUGGUGGCUCCCAGCCAGUCUUGGAGUACUGUUCCAACUGGGACCCAUUAAUUUAAGUGGUGGCUUAUUAGAAGGCACUUUGCCCAAGACCUUCCAAUCCUAAACUGGCCCUGACCACUGUGGUGCUCUUUGAACUGAUUGUCAGCAUAACCCCUCAGCCAUCUGUCUCCUUGGAUCCAUUCACUGAAGGAUCAGUGGUAGUUUGCCAUUCUUCCCCGCUCCCACUUGCAGGUGGCAUAGAAAUCUAUGGAUUAAAAUCUCUGCACUGUAACUUUGUAUGCAUUUCGCUGGAUGUUGCUGUGAAUAAUUCUGCUUCUUUCCAAGUACAGUGAUCCUGUGUGGGGUGUAAAUUAAGGACAAAUUUCCUUCUUGAUUCAUCGUUGCAUAUGUUCUAUUCUUUUCCACCGAUGCCUCUGCUCUGUUUAUGCCCUCAAAAAGAUGUUUUAUUCAUGGAUCUGUACAUAAUUGCCCCUGCCUGUGCUCCAGGAGCUAUUCAAACACCUUCUGAAUAUACAUCUAAUUUUAGAAUGUUUAGGAUUGCUCAGAUGUUAACCGUGCCAGGUAUGGAGGAUUUUUGAUGGCACGACAAUAAAACAAUUAAACAGAAGUCCAUGAGUUCAGUGUCUGAAGCAUAAUAAUCACUUUCCAAUUGCAAAACACACAGAUGUAUCUCAGCAUUAGCAGACUGUUGAUUGCUGUAACUGGCUCUAUUAGGGAUGGGGUUUUUCCCCCCAAAGCCAUCUUGUGCGCUUGUUUUUCCCCACCCCUUUUUUAAAAACUUGCAUAGCUGUAAAAUAGAAUUGUUUUUUGGGGAGGGGGGAAGAAAUUACCGGACCUCCAUUUUCAAAUAUUUCCAAAGGGACUGUGCCGUCUCGUGCUGGAAACUUUGUCAUGCUGUCAAUUAUACCAUCAAAAUGUAAGAUUUAUUUUUGUCUCUUCAGUGCAGCUGGAAGGGAAUAAGAUUCUGCUAAGGCAGGCAUGCAAAUGUAUAGCCGUGGUAUACAAUAAAGCGCCUAAUUAGUUCAGAGAUGGCAUUUCUAUCCAUUCCGAUGUGCCAGCAGGUUUAAGGGGUGGGGUAGGCAUUUGCUUGUUUUGAAUACAUAGAGCACGUCUCUCUCCCCCCACCACCAUCGGCCCUGAUUAGAUUCCACUCACAUUUCACAGAGAAAACUACAUCUGCUCCAUCAGUGCUAUAAAAUAGGUAUUUCCUCGGGGGUAUGUAAAGCAUAUAUAAAUCUCAGCUUCUGCUUCAGAUUUGCAUAGAUACUGGCACGCAGGUCAGCAGCGCAUUUAGUUUUCUUUGUAACUGUGGCGAGUUUUCAGUGGUCUAAUGAGAUUGUGGGCAUUUCUGCUUACAUGUGUAAAGUGUGAGUGCAGCCGUGAAUAGGACCCCGCAGUAUUCUCCAAAUCUCGUGGUUUAGGUCCUCGGUAUUUGCUGGUGUAGAAGAAAGGGAGAGGAAAAAUGCCCCGCUAGUUUUCGGAUGACCUUACAACCCAAGAGGCACAUAUAAAGAUUAAAAACCACAUCUAAAACAAACCCUGUGGUGCAAGGUUUCUGUUUCGUUUUUGUUUAUUCAACCAUGUGUUUUGUUGCAGUUAAAUGAUGCUUUGGAGAGGAAAAAAAGGACCUUUUCUGACUGUAAGUGAGACUUUUGCCGCAGCUUCUCAAGGAAUUCCCCCUGUAGCAAUCCUCUCGGUAAGCCAUUAGCUGUGCACAUCUGCCCACUCUAAUGACCGCGCCAGUGUACACAUACCUGACUGCCAUCUAAUUUAGAUAUCACCCACAGGACACAAAUGCUGGUGUCUCAUGGGCCAGUUAAAUCCGGGAUUAUUGACCAG